rnacentral:rRNA from 1 species
UACGAGGGGGGCGAGCGUUGUUCGGAAUUAUUGGGCGUAAAGGGUGCGUAGGCGGUUCCGCAAGUCCUGUGUGAAAUCUUCGGGCUCAACUCGAAGUCUGCACGGGAAACUGCGGGGCUUGAGUGUGGGAGAGGCGCGUGGAAUUGCAGGUGUAGCGGUGAAAUGCGUAGAUAUCUGCAGGAACACCCGUGGCGAAAGCGGCGCGCUGGACCACUACUGACGCUGAGGAACGAAAGCUAGGGGAGCAAACAGG